CCUACGGGAGGCAGCAGUGGGGAAUAUUGGACAAUGGGGGAAACCCUGAUCCAGCGACGCCGCGUGAGUGAAGAAGUAUUUCGGUACGUAAAGCUCUAUCAGCAGGAAAGAAAAUGACGGUACCUGACUAAGAAGCCCCGGCUAACUACGUGCCAGCAGCCGCGGUAAUACGUAGGGGGCAAGCGUUAUCCGGAUUUACUGGGUGUAAAGGGAGCGUAGACGGCAGCGCAAGUCUGGAGUGAAAUGCCGGGGCCCAACCCCGGAACUGCUCUGGAAACUGUGAAGCUGGAGUGCAGGAGAGGUAAGCGGAAUUCCUGGUGUAGCGGUGAAAUGCGUAGAUAUAUGGAAGAACACCAGUGGCGAAAGCGGCUCUCUGGUCUGUAACUGACGCUGAGGUUCGAAAGCGUGGGUAGCAAACAGGAUUAGAUACCCCUGUAGUC
rnacentral:rRNA from 1 species